GUAUGGCAUAACAUGUUAGGAGAGCUUUGGUGCCUUCAAGAAUCUGAGACAGGUGCUGCAUGGCUGUCGUCCCUAGAGAAACGCACUGUUGGGUUAAGUCCCGCAACGAGCGCAACCCUUAUCCUUAUUUGCCAGCACGUAAUGGGGGGAACUCAAGGAAGACUGCCGGUGAUAAACCGGAGGAAGGGGGGGACGACUUCAAGUCAUCAUGGCCUUUACGAGUAGGGCUACCCACGUGCUACAAUGGCGAAUACAGAGGGUGCCCACCCCGCGAGGGGGGGCUAAUCUCAAAAAGCUCGUCGAAGUCCGAAUUGGAGUCUGCAACUCGACUCCAUAAAGUCGGAUUCGCUAUAAAUCCGGAAUCAAAAUGCCGCGGGGAAUACUUUCCCGGGUUUGGACACACGGA
rnacentral:rRNA from 1 species